rnacentral:rRNA from 1 species
AUGGCGGCGGCGAUGUCGGUGUCGGCCGUGGUCCCGCCGGCGGCGGCGGUGGCGCGCGCGCGGACGCUGCUCUGCGUGCCCGCCACGGCGCGCGCGCCGCGGGAGAUGGCGGCGGAGGUGGCCGCCGCCGCCGCGCUCGGCGCCGACCUGGCGGAGCUCCGCCUCGAUCGCCUAGCCGGGUUCGCCCCGCGCCGGGACCUGCCCGCGCUCCUCGCCAAGCCCCGCACGCUCCCCGCCCUCGUCACAUACAGGCCAAAGUGGGAAGGUGGUGAAUAUGAAGGCGAUGAUGAACCGCGGUUCGAGGCACUUCAAUUGGCAAUGGAACUGGGAGCUGAAUACGUUGAUAUUGAGCUUAAGGUUGCUGACAAAUUUAUUAAAUUCAUGUCCGGAAAGAAACCUGAAAACUGUAAGCUCAUUGUUUCAUCCCAUAACUAUGAUAACACCCCUUCGGCAGAAGAGCUUGCAAGCCUGUUGGCUCAGAUUCAAGCAACAGGAGCUGAUAUAGUAAAAAUUGCGACCACUGCUACUGAAAUUGUUGAUGUUUCAAGAAUGUUUCAAAUACUUGUACACUGCCAAGAAAAGCAGGUGCCGAUCAUAGGACUGGUGAUGAACGACAGAGGUUUUAUUUCUCGUGUUCUCUGCCCCAAAUUCGGUGGAUACCUUACUUUUGGCUCUCUUGAAAAAGGAAAAGAAUCUGCACCUUCACAGCCAACCGCUGCAGACUUGAUCAAUGUGUACAACAUUAGACAGAUAGGCCCAGAUACUAAGGUUUUUGGUAUUAUUGGAAAUCCUGUUGGACACAGUAAAAGCCCGAUUUUGCAUAAUGAAGCUUUCAGAUCAGUGGGUUUGAAUGCUGUGUAUGUGCCAUUUUUGGUGGAUGACUUGGCUAAAUUUCUUUCGACCUACUCUUCACCAGACUUUGCUGGCUUCAGUUGUACAAUUCCCCACAAGGAAGCUGCAGUUAGGUGCUGUGAUGAGGUUGAUCCUAUUGCCAGGGACAUUGGAGCUGUUAAUACAAUUAUUAGAAAGCCUGAUGGGAAACUUGUAGGCUACAAUACUGAUUAUGUCGGUGCAAUUUCUGCUAUUGAAGAUGGAAUAAGAGCAACACAACAAACGCAUUCUACCGUGUCACCACUGGCUGGAAGGCUUUUCGUUGUUAUUGGUGCUGGUGGUGCAGGGAAAGCACUUGCUUACGGUGCAAAAGAGAAGGGAGCAAGAGUUGUAAUAGCAAACCGCACUUUCGCACGUGCUCAAGAACUUGGUAACUUAAUCGGUGGGCCUGCUUUGACUCUCACGGAGUUAGAAAACUACCAUCCGGAGGAAGGGAUGAUUCUUGCAAACACAACAGCAAUAGGAAUGCAUCCAAAUGUCAAUGAAACUCCUCUAUCCAAGCAAGCGCUUAAAUCUUAUGCUGUUGUCUUCGAUGCGGUCUACACACCGAAAGAGACAAGACUUCUUAGGGAAGCUGCAGAAUGUGGAGCCACAGUUGUUAGCGGUUUGGAGAUGUUCAUAAGGCAAGCAAUGGGUCAAUUUGAGCAUUUCACGGGCAUGCCAGCUCCAGAUAGCUUGAUGCGUGAUAUUGUUCUGAGAAAGACAUGA